rnacentral:rRNA from 1 species
UACGUAGGGUGCGAGCGUUGUCCGGAAUUAUUGGGCGUAAAGAGCUCGUAGGCGGUUUGUUGCGUCUGCCGCGAAAACCUGGGGCUUAACUCCGGGCUUGCGGUGGAUACGGGCAGACUUGAGUUCGGUAGGGGAGUCUGGAAUUCCUGGUGUAGCGGUGAAAUGCGCAGAUAUCAGGAGGAACACCGGUGGCGAAGGCGGGACUCUGGGCCGAUACUGACGCUGAGGAGCGAAAGCGUGGGGAGCGAACAGG